rnacentral:lncRNA from 1 species
AUGGCCAGGAUUAGUUCACUCAGUUCGUUGGUGACAUGACACUGACGUGGAGGGUCAUGAUGGUGAUGAGAGUCAUGACCACACCCUAUAGCCCAAGGGAAGUAUAUUAUAUAUUUUAGGAGAUAAUUUCAACACUGAAACACAAUGCUACAGAAUAAUCCAAGCUAAGAUAUAAACCGAAUAUAUAUAGAAACACAAAUAUGGAUAUCGUGAAUACCAGCAUCCAAAAUAACUAACUAAUAUAAGCAGAAAAAAACACAGAAAAACAAGUAGCAAUACGACUACUCAUCAUACUUCUUUACAACGAUUUGCACCGGUGACACGCGUGGGGCCUGUAAGAGAACUUUUAACAUCUCCAACUCUUCAUCCUUCUCAUGAACCACACUACUUAUCAACAACACCUUCUUCAACUUAGGAGACCUGGAGAUGAUAAACUUCACAAACUCCAUCGAAGGCUUCGAGUUGUUAAAAUAAUAAAUCACCAAUUCCUUCAGAUGCUCCAUCCAAACAUCUGAGUAUUUUUCCAAUAUACCAGAAUAUAUCUCAUUUUCAUCAUUAUACCCCAGUUCAGCCUAUAGAAAGGGUUGUCAUUAUAUUUUUGUCAGUAGAUUUUGGUGAGAAUUAAAAUAACAGAUUUACCUCUAGCACAAUGUGCUCCAAGUUCGGGGAACAUUUAAGCAAAAUAGCAAGGAAAGUUAAAUGAUGGUUGCCAUCUAAAGACAUUUUUUUGAAACAAAAGUAUUUGAG